CUCAAAGUGACUGUGUUUCAUCAGUAAUAGUGUUAAAUAUUCUGUUUACAAUAUACGGGCAUCGUAAUAUAAUUUUGGGAAACCUAUCUGUGUUAGUGAUUCGUUGUUAUUUGGCCGAAAAUCUGUUCAAGAUUCAAGAUAGGCAGACUUUCAAGAAUCGGAGACGAGGACAAGAUUCGGCAUGCCUAAGUGCGUAUCUGAAUUGUACCAUCUGCCCCUUUUAAGCAGGAUGGAAGUAGUAAUCAUUCAUGCUGCCAAGUUGUCCUUCCUCUGUCGUGAUUUUCCUCUGUAGUCUUUGUCCUCAAGGGACAAGAAUCUGCAAGUAUUGAAGGAAGGAAACACUAGGAAUUAAGAAAAUAUGAUAGGCCAGACAGGGACCGCAAUAGGGAAAACAGACUCCAAACAUGAAGAUAAUAGCAGUGUCCAGGAACAGUGAGCAAAAAAGCUGGAGUUGAUGCAGGAGUAGAAUCUUGUUAUAGGAGCAAUUUAGAAAACUAAUUGGAAUGAAAUACGUAGUUUAAAAGUAUCCUAGGUGAUGUCUCUGAGGAAAGGAGAUAAGAAGAUAUAUUGAGAUCUACAGGAUUCAGCACUAACAGCUUGAAUUACGGAAAAAUUACACUGAAUAAAACUGAAAUUUUCUACCUUAUGAGCAGAGACUUUACAAGGAGCUUAGUCCUUCCCUGCAUACACUAGAGGGUCUCUGAGAAUACUUCAUACAACAAAAAUAUUUCCCUUUGACCCUAGUGUGUUAAAUUACAAACAAGGAUUGCAAAAUAUCCUGGAUUGUUCUGGCUUGUCCUCUUUCAGUAGCACAAAAAAUGUCAAGUUCAUAUCACAAACAAACCUCUUGAAAUUUGCAUCUUAAUUUGGGUAACUUUGGUAAUACUAGUCUGUAAAGUUGAUUGCUCUUCUUCAGUGCAGAUACUCUUGACGAUGGUUAGGUUAUAUAAAUAUCAAAGACUACCCUGACAAACUCAUAAGGGUUUCAAUGAAAGCCCUUGAAAGCCAAGGUGAAAACAAAGUAUGAAGAUGUCAAUAUGGAUGUUAUGGAAGAGGAACUUAUGCAAACUGGCAAUUCUGGGAAUAAUGGCAGCAAAUGAAAAAAAGUUUUUUCCUAUGGCACCAACUAUAUUACUAGGUUGCUUUACUCUGGAAUGAACCUGGAAAUCAUCACAGCACUUCUCUACUCCAAAGCUGUUAGGAUAAGUGAUGAAUUUUUACCUCACAGCUGUUAAGCUAGUAAGUGAUGAGUUUUUACUCUCUGAAUUGACUUCAACAACUUGACCUACCAGAAAGUCAAGAAUAACUGUGACCAUGAAUUACAAGGACAAUUACAAGACCAUGCAAAGGCUCUAUUUUCAUAUACCUAAGUACUCCCAGUAAAACUUCAACACUGCCCCCUCGAGCGCCUCAGUGGCGUGAUCGGUAUGGUCUUGACCUGCCACCUCGGUGACUGCGAGUUCAAUUCUCGGGCGGCUUUCCAUUGAAGGGUUAGAGAUUGUAUUUCUGGUGAGAGGAGUUCACUCUUGACGUGGUUUGGAAGUCACGUAAAGCCGUUGGUCCCGUUGCUGAAUAACCACUGGUUCUGUGCAACAUAAAACACCAUAAAAAUAAAAAAAACUUCAACCCCUUAGUCUACUAGGUGGUCCUCAUAUGGCAUAAACUCUCAAAGGCAAGGAGUAUUCCUGCAUACUGUUGAGAAUGAGUAAUUUACAAGAAAACCCUGGAAAAUUUGUAACUUGUCAUGGCUAAAUAUAAUUCUAGCAGAAUAUCCCGCACCCAUGUUCAAGAUAUCUAAAACUACAACCAAGCUACCAGUCAGAAGACUUUAUAUUGUCCAUAACUGUGAUGGAAAGGUGAAAUUAUAUGUAGUAGAGAUACUGUAACUGUUUGAAGAUCACGAGGUUGCAUGUGAUUACAACAGUAUUGAGUUAACUGGUAGCCUGUCCAGUGAUGUAGGCUGUUGAUGCACAUCUAAGUUGUCUGUGAUGAUAAAGAAGAUAUGUACAAUU